UUGAGGUUGAUGAAUUCUCAAACGAAUACCUGAGUUUGCACCCAAUGCCAUCAACAACAAAAAAAGGCAUCUUUGCUGGAGGAGCAUUUUGAAGCUGUUGAAGAAGAGGAUGAAAAGGCUAUUGGUGAUUCUGAUGCAUCAUCAGCGAGUGAAUUGUCAGAAGAUGAGCAUGAAAACACAAAGGCCAAAUCCAAGAAGAAAGUACAAGCUCCUAGAUUUUACGAAGUGAAGGAUAAAUGGCAAAAGAAGGGUUUUCUAAAAACCCCUCAAAAACAGAGAGGAAAAACCAACAGAGGGGCUAGGGUUUAGUACCACUGGCGGAGGGUUUAUUACUCCGGUUGAUGGAAGCGAAGAUGUGUUUCUUUCACCAAUCAGCACACCCAGGAGAAGCAGUGUUGGAGGUGGAUGUGACACAAAAAUCCAAGAAAGAAAACCCCACUGAUGAAGAGGAAGCUGGCGAAAGUUAAUCGGGCUCUGGGAGCCCGACUUCUUGAGGAGGAGGAAGAGCUGAAUGAGAAUAAGGGAGCUGAUGAUGCUGAUGCUCAGAAACAUCAGAUGCUAAGAAAACAUCAAAGAAAAAGAAAGGUCUCACGAGUGAAGUUCUCAACGAUGAGAGGUUUACAGCUAUGUUUGAAAAUAAGCCAGUUGCUAAGAAUUGGGGUGCUGGUGAUGAUGACUACAAUCACAUCAGACAUCCAAAGUCUCCCAACAGAAACCUUGGUUCAGGGCUGGUAAGAAAGAAACAUGUAACAUACGUGGUUCAGAUUCGAUCUCUGUGGCAAAGCAUGUGUGUUGGGUCAAGACCCGAUAUGAUUCUUCAUCUGAUUCAAGCACUGAGCCAAAGAAAGUCAGAGGUAUCAUGCAGUUGCUGUAGGCCAAGCCCAUGUUCCACUAUCUCUGACUGCUGUGAGUGCUGAGACUGUAGCUUCCCCUGUGGUCCAUGUGAUCAUGGCAGCAGUGGUAAGACAAAAUGGAAGUUUCUGUAAGUGUUCGACAAUUAAGUUACAAAAUGAUUGAAAUAAAAAGCAUGACAUCGAAAAUGCCAACAUCCAGAGGCCAUAGGUGAUCCUACUGCAAUUGUAAGCUGAGAAGGAAAUGGAAAAAUCUAAGAUGUAAAAUCCGCUAUUACAUUCAGAGAACGCAUCUAAGUCUGGAAAGCCGAAUAUGAAAGGGCUAUCCAUUGACAAAGUUGUUCACCCCAGGACAAGUCUGGCAUCAUAUUACAGCAUUUUACAGUGGGUAAGCCAGGUAAGUAUUAUGUGUUGUCUGUUUAUUGUGAUUUUGUUGUGAUUGGUAAAGACAUUCAUGCACAUGGUUCAUGGCUAUACAGAGCCCUGAAUGUUAGUGUUUGCAUGUUGAUCAAAGACUUUUAUCAUCAUCGUAAACUCACUUAAGUAUUUCAGGCCUGAGGUGAAAGCAGUCAAUGGAGAGGUUCUGUGAACAUUUGUGUACCAUGAAAUUUUGGCAAGUAUUUUGGACCCUUGCUCUUUUGCGACAUUAUAGUUGCAAUUUUUGUUGUGUUAGUACCCAUCAUGUUCUUAUAUUUUUAGAUUGGAUUCUUAGAAUACUGCAAAAAGCAUGGUUUCACAAGCUGUUAUAUAUGAUCUUGCCCUUCUAUGAAAGGGGAAGAUUACAUUUGUAUUGCCACCCAGAAAUUCAGAAGACACCAAACUCGCUUGAACUUAGGGAGUGGUAAGUUUGAUGA